CGCGGCCUAGCAGCUUGUGGGKGGGGUGAUGGCCUACCAAGGCGUCGACGGGUAGCCGGCCUGAGAGGGCGACCGGCCACAUUGGGACUGAGAUACGGCCCAAACUCCUACGGGAGGCAGCAGUGGGGAAUAUUGCACAAUGGGCGGAAGCCUGAUGCAGCAACGCCGCGUGCGGGAUGACGGCCUUCGGGUUGUAAACCGCUUUCAGCAGGGACGAAGCGCAAGUGACGGUACCUGCAGAAGAAGCACCGGCUAACUACGUGCCAGCAGCCGCGGUGAUACGUAGGGUGCGAGCGUUGUCCGGAUUUAUUGGGCGUAAAGAGCCUGUAGGCGGUUGGUUGCGUCGAAAGUGCAAACUCAGGGCUUAACUCUGAGCCUGCUUUCGAUACGGGCUGACUGGAGGAAGGUAGGGGAGAAUGGAAUUCCCGGUGGAGCGGUGGAAUGCGCAGAUAUCGGGAGGAACACCAGUGGCGAAGGCGGUUCUCUGGACCUUUCCUGACGCUGAGAAGCGAAAGCGUGGGGAGCAAACAGGCUUAGAUACCCUGGUAGUCCACGCUGUAAACGGUGGGUACUAGGUGUGGGGGACAUUCCACGUUCUCUGUGCCGUAGCUAACGCAUUAAGUACCCCGCCUGGGGAGUACGG
rnacentral:rRNA from 1 species